GACGAACGCUGGCGGCGUGCUUAACACAUGCAAGUCGAACGGUGAAGCGCUUUCCUUUUUGGUUGGUGUGGAUGAGUGGCGAACGGGUGAGUAACACGUGAGUAACCUGCCCCCUUCUUCUUGAUAACCGCAUGAAAGUGUGGCUAAUACGGGAUAUUCUGCGCCUGCUGCAUGGUGGGUGUGGGAAGGAUUGUGCCUUUGGGUGUUUUCGGUGGGGGAUGGGCUCGCGGCCUAUCAGCUUGUUGGUGGGGUGAUGGCCUACCAAGGCGGUGACGGGUAGCCGGACGGGGAGGGUGGAAGGUCACACUGGGACUGAGACACGGACCAGACUGCUACGGGAGGCAGCAGUGGGGAAUAUUGCACAAUGGGCGCAAGCCUGAUGCAGCGACGCCGCGUGAGGGAUGGAGGCCUUCGGGUUGUGAACCUCUUUCGCCAGUGAAGCAGGUCUGCUCCUUGUGGGUGGGUUGACGGAAGCUGGAUAAGAAGCGCCGGCUAACUACGUG
rnacentral:rRNA from 1 species